UUGAAUAAUCGGCAAACUACUCGAAAGGGUAGGGCGCAAAGCUAUAGGGGCUACGUCUAUUUGUAGAUAUGCCAGCCAGUUGCCCUU
rnacentral:ncRNA from 1 species